GUAUGGCACAGUGGCCGUGAUGUCAUCAGUGACAUCACACUCAGGACCUUCAGUGAGUGAGCACCAGCUGCUGGGGAUCCAGAUGUGGCUCGUGUACAGGCUCUCGUACUCCCUGUCAAAGAGAGGAGGGCACAGAGUUACACCAGCCCCUCUGACACAGGCUCAGUUAUGGUUGCAAGUAACUGACUUCGUUCACCUACUUUGUACAGCUUAGUGGACGGAUGUUUUCUUGGCAACAUUUCUGUUCCAACAACUAAAUAACCAACAACUAACUAACCAAACAACCAGCAUGCUUAGCCUGUGCUAGGAGAUGUGGGGACAGCAGAAAAGAUGCCCAGGCCCUGGCCCUCCAGGUCAGUGCUGGAAAGAGAAGUAACCACCUGAAGCUAAAGUACCUGGGGUCAAAGAGAGGUCUUGGAAAGACGUAGAAGGAAAUACUGAAGAUGCUGCUUCUGGUGGGAAAUUAUAACAAUAAAGGCCAGGAGGAGGAAAUGAAGAGCUCUAUUUGUAUUUACCUCCGAAAAUCAACUUACCGAAGAUUCACUAUCACGAAUGAGGAAAUCCCC
rnacentral:lncRNA from 1 species